CUUGGACCACUUAGACUCAGCCACACUUUUUUAUAACACUGCAUUUGGGCAACGCCACAGUUGGCGUAGCAGUACCGCUUGCCUAGCAGCAAUUUACUCCUCGAAACGGCAGAGAAUAGAGUGGAAAGGAAAAAAGGAUUUCUCGCAUCUACAACAUCCUUCUUUGCCUCCAGCAAUGGGGAGGGGGGUCAUCUUUUGGCCAAAGUGGAUCCGUUCGCUUUGGUUUUCGCUUUUGAUUAUGUUGUGUUUAUUUCAUGGCGAUAAAGCCGAGAUAACUUGCAGGUCGUGCCAUGCUGGGAACAAGUGGCGUGCACGGAAAUUACUGCUGAAAUUUGACACAAGUGAGUCCGCUACAGCAUCGAAGCAAGACGGGUUUGGACAUGCAGACGGGGCAGCGGGAUUUGGGACUGCAAGUGUCGAAAGCGAGCGGCUCCGUUGCGCGGAUGGGUCCGCUGAAUGUAUUACAGGUCGUAUGGGUGGCAGGGAGCCGAGACUGAAACGGAAUAACUUGGGCGCAAGGGAUGGAAUUGGCAAUACUGAGGUUACGCAGACGAAAGUUUCACAACAAAAAGCCAGCGACGACGCGGGUUUUAACAGUCGCUACACAAAGCGUGUCAGAAGGAACAGUAGCGACAACAAAGCCAGACAAGCCUCUUCUGCAAACAGUCGAUCCCCGGAACCGGACAUCAGCUCGGCAUUGGGACGCAGAGUGGCGCGCUCUGAAUUGCGCUGGAGUCCGGAGGAACGGAGAGCCGCCGGUCCAGUACAGGAGGAGCUAAAACUUAAUAGUUCGACGUUUGCCUUGACCGGAGAUUCAACUCACAACCAGGCUAUGGUGCACUGGUCCGGACAGAACAGCAGUGUGAUUUUAAUGCUGACCAAACUGUUUGACUUCAGCCUCAACAGUGUCACUGAGAGUUCAUUAUGGCGGUCAACUGACUAUGGAGCAACAUACCAGAAGCUGAACGACAAAGUGGGAGUAAAGACGAUACUCAGUUAUUUGUAUGUGAGCCCUAACAACAAGAGAAAGAUCAUGCUGCUAACUGAUCCAGAGGUAGAGAGCAGUCUCCUGAUCAGCUCGGAUGAAGGAGCAACCUACCAGAAGUACAGACUGAACUUCUACAUCCUCAGCCUGCUCUUCCACCCUGAGCAGGAGGACUGGAUUCUGGCGUACAGCCACGAUCAAAAGCUAUACAGCUCAGUGGAGUUUGGCAGAAGGUGGCAACUGGUGCACGAGAGAGUGGCUCCUAAUCGCUUCUACUGGUCAAAAAUGGGCUUGGACAAAGAGCCAGGCUUAAUUCACCUGGAAACCAGCAUCUCUGAAGGACAGGCACUAUAUGUAACCUGCAAACUGCACAACUGCACGGAUGCCAACAAGAGCAAACCAUUCCCAGGCUACAUUGACCCCAAUUCUCUGGUGGUGCAAGAUGAGUAUGUGUUUGUCCAGGUUUCAACUGUAGGGAAACCGAUCUAUUAUGUGUCCGCUAAAAGAGAUGUAUUCACCCAGAUGAAACUGCCCAAAUACACCCUGCCCAAGGGUCUCCAUGUUAUCAGUACAGACGAAAAUCGUGUAGUGGCAGCAGUGCAAGAGUGGAACCAGAACGAAACCUACAACCUAUAUGUGUCAGACACGUCUGGAGUGUCCUACACUCUGGCCUUGGAGAAUGUGGUCAGCAGCAUGGGCCCUGAGGGCAAUGUGAUGGUUGACCUUUAUGAAGUAGCAGGAAUAAAAGGGAUGUUCUUAGCCAACAAGAAGAUAGAUACCCAAAUAAAGACUCACAUCACCUAUAACCGAGGCAGAGACUGGAGGAUACUGCAGGCUCCUAGCAAAGACCUGAGGGGCAGCAGCGUCCACUGUUUGCUGCCGUACUGUUCCUUACAUCUUCAUCUUCAUGUGUCUGCAAAUCAAUACACAUCUGGAAACAUAGCCAGCAGGGACUCUGCGCCAGGAAUCAUUGUUGCAUCAGGAUCAAUUGGAUCAGAGUUGACCACCAGCAAUAUCAGCCUGUUUAUCACCUCAGAUGCAGGAAACACGUGGAGACAGAUUUUUGACGAGGAGUAUGCGGUUCUGUAUCUCAACCAAGGGGGAGCUUUAGUCGCAAUAAGACACACUCCACUUCCCAUCCGUCACCUGUGGUUGAGCUUUGAUGAAGGGCGGCAGUGGAACAAGUACACUUUUACCAACACGCCUCUGUUUGUGGACGGGGUGUUAGGAGAGCCUGGGGAAGACACUCUCAUUAUGACGAUAUUUGGCCACUUCAGUCAUCGCUCAGAGUGGCAGCUGGUGAAAAUGGACUUCAGGUCAAUCUUCAACAAAAGGUGCACUGAGGCAGAUUAUCAAACGUGGCUUCUACAUGACCAGGGCGAGUCGUGCCUAAUGGGAGUGAAAAGAAUCUAUCGAAAGCUAAAAACCACAUCCAGGUGUGUUAUGGGGAAGACAUAUUCUGUGUCAAUGACAUCGGAUCCCUGCGACUGCACAGAGGCCGACUUUGAAUGUGAUUAUGGCUAUGAGAGGCACACCAGUGGCAAGUGCAGUCCUGCCUUUUGGUUCCAUCCAUCAUCUAUGUCCAGGAGCUGCACCACAGGCAUGACAUUCCUCAACAGCACUGGCUACAGGAAAGUGGUAUCUAAUAACUGCACUGCUGGGGUCAGUAUCAAGUACACAGCCAGGAGGCAACAAUGUCCCAUUCAAGCCCCCAAAGGUCUCCACCUUGUUACCAGCGAAGGCACACUGACAGCCAGAACAGGCACCAAUGUCACCUUCCUUGUUUUCCUUGAAGAGGGUGAUGGUACAAGGACUAGCAUCACACUGGACUUUGGAGACGGCCAUGCACUGACGUAUUCCAACGUGAGCUCCAUUGAGGAUGGAAUCAAGCACAUCUAUAAAUCUGUGGGAAUCUACCGGGUGACUGCAACUGGGGAAAACAGCCUCGGCUCAGAGACCGCUGUGCUCUACCUUCAUGUAACAUGUCAGCUGGAGUAUAUCCAUCUCUCAGCUCCCUUUGUGGCAGUGAGGAACAAGGAAGUGAACCUGACUGCUGUUCUAUGGCCCAGCCAAGUGGGAACAGUCACCUACAUUUGGUGGAUCGGGAAUAACACAGAGCAGCCAGUAAUUACUCUGGAGGGAAGCGCAACAUGCAAAUUUUCCCAAGAAGGCAUCAACACAGUGACUGUACAGGUGUCUUCAGGGAAUACUAUUCUGCAGGACAGAAAAACCAUUGCUGUCCAUGAAUAUUUCCGAUCCUAUCUGCUUUCCUUCUCGUCAAACCUGGAUGAUCACAACCCAGAUGUUGCAGAAUGGAGAUUCGACGUGAGUCAAGUUAUCAAGAACUCUUUGAUCCAGGCUACUGGUGUAAGAGAGGAUCAGCUGCUAGUCACAUUCCUCCCGGGUAGGCCCUCGACAGCAGAGUUUUUUCUUGUACCUGACAAACAAUUAAAUGGGGGGAAACCAGAGAAGAAUUCUGCUCAUUUGGAUCAGCUUUCAGAGGUUUUGCACAAUGCCUUAAAUCAAAACCUCGUCCAGUUUACCUUGCGGCCUGGGGUCCAAGUCACUGUGUAUGUGGCACAUCUAUCGGCAGCGCCCCUAGUGGAUACCAGUGAGAAUCACAGUGGUUCCGCCAUGCUAAUGCUGCUAUCUGUAGCAGUUCUGGGUUUAGCUCUAUUUUUCAUCUAUAAAUUCAAGAGGAAGAUCCCAGGCCUCAAUGUCUAUGCGCAAAUGCAGAACGAAAAAGAACAAGAAGUGAGUCCAGGUAAUCCAACAGAGGCCACGCUCAGCUCACAGCAGGGCUUUGUGCAUUCUUUGGAGCUUCUGGACACAGAGUUUAACUCACGGCCCAUCGAGGUGAAGUGGUCCAGUGAUGGGGUUUUUGACAGCUAAACCAAAAAAGGAUGAUCUGCCGUAACUAAGAACAACCAAGGCACAUUCGGAAGUCUGUCACCAGUUAAGAUGGAAACGCGUUCAUCUUUAACACCGGCAGUGGCGAGGACACGUUAGCCUUGUGAUUGGGGGAGCAGCGCAACAGUGGCAGCUACUGCCAUGCGAUUUUGAUCAAUGAAAAAAUUUAUUUUAAAUAAUUUUAUUUUUCCAAACCACGUGGGGCGCAGUAAAAGGAUGAAGGAGCUGUGGGUUGUCAACCCCUGCCCUAACCCAACUACUGUGUAGUAGUGUAGUAGUUAGUACUGUGUACUAAGUAAACCUAGAGUUAAUUAAUAUGUGAAUUAGGUUUUCCGGCAUCAUUUUGAGAAGCAAUGCUCCUGAUUUUAGCAAUAUUACUAACAUGGAAGUAGGCAGUUCUAGAGACUUCUUUUGUAUACAUAGUAAAUUUUAUAAAUUUAAAUAAAGUUGACACCAAGGUUCCUCACACUAGAAUCCAAUGUAAGCAUUCUGUGAUUUAGAGCUCCUAUCUAAUUUAAUAGCAUAGUCUUGCCAAAAUUGACGCAAGCUGACGGCAACUAGGGCCACACUCAGCAUGAGCUGGAGAACAGGGCUGCCAAGGCUCACAAACAAAAUUAUGUGCGACGCUCAGUAAGCAGGAGAGAAAAGGCUGCAAAGGCCCAUAAACAAAACCAAAGGGGAGGACCCGAAUGCAACGACCCAUAGACAGAAACUAUAAUCAAUGGUUUAAUUAAAUAAACAGAAGGAAAAUACAGAAUAAGGGUGCUUCAUCCAGCAGGACAAACUAUUCAAUAAAUAAUCAAACGCUAAACGUAACGAACACAGAACAAAUGCACAUAUAAAAACGAACCUUGAGACAGAGUAAUUGAAACUAAGAAGGACAGCAUAGAUGGAGGAAACAAGCAAAGAGCCGUGCCAAGUUGACAGGAAAAGCUGUGAUGAGCCUUGCCAGGCUCAGAAACCAGGGCAGGAGGACCAGAGUGAAGGCCAAAUAGACAGACGAGAUGAUUGAGUAGCUACAGCGUCAGACAAAGAACUACAUGAGUGAGGAGCUAGAUGCAGAAUUUUACGCAGGCCAAGAAACAGAGUCCAGUUAUAAAAGUCCCAGUUCUAUGGACAGAGGUCUGGGUGUCUCUAAAAUGGCUUUUAUUUUGGCCUGCACAUCUUGGCUGUUGAUAACUGUCCACCAGCUCAAUCAACGUUAACCACACCAUUGGAAGACGGACCCUUUUGAUGGUGUCCAUACAGAUAAACAAGCCUGAGAUGGAAUCCCCGGAACAGACAGAGGUUCUCCAGCUUAUUAGCGCCAAUAGUCUGUCCAUACGAUGUAAACCCAAACUAAUUGUGUCAAUCACAAAAUAAAUCCACCCAGUGAGGGUUAAAGUCAACAACUGGUCUCACCUGAGCAGGCUGUGCAGGACGAUAGCACUGUGAACAGGUCCAGGCUGUGAUGGAGGCAUACAGUGAAGGAGGCAACGCUACCGUAGCAGCAUAUUGUGCCGGAGGCAAGGCCACCGGUAAGGUGGACAAGAUGAGCAGUGAAGAGCAGUGCCAGGCAGACGAGACGAGCGGUGACGAGCCAUGCCAAGCUGACGAAACGAGUGGAGAGCUUUAGCUUUAGUGAAGCACAUCAAACCACUCUUAGUGGGGAUUUUCUCUUAUCUCACUAGAGCUGUCAACUGAUCCAUUUUAUUAUUCAGUGAUCUUACUUUGCUAAUAAUUUGCGAAGGGAGAUAUAGCUUGAAUCUUUUCACCUUCUCUUUGUGCAAGUCCCUUCUCCAAUCUUUGUUUCCUCCACAAACCUUUCUGCCUCCUCUGCAUCCCCUUGUUUUCCCUUUUUAUUUUGUCGGGGGAAGCUUGAAGUUAUGGACAAAGUUGAGUAUUUUGCCCUUAAUGAGAGCAGCUGAUCCUGGGGGUAAGCAUAGUCACAGAUCUGCUGCUGCGCUUCGGCCUUAGGGUUGAGGGUAAGUAUAAAUCUCAACGUCAAAAUGAACUAAAAAACUAUCUUGAACAAUGUGAUCAGAAAGGGUACACCUUAACUACUAAGACUAAUUAAAAAGUAUAAAGUACCGUAGUACAAAGUACAAACUAUAGUAGAUAAAAAAAUACAGAAAAAAAUCAGAAAAAAACCCAAAAGACACUACAAAAGUGGAAAUAAUUAAGCAUGCUGCUACAAGGCUCGGCCUUGUAUCUGUGUAUCUUUUAACAAAUUCACAAACAAGACACUAAUAAACUAAAACAAACACAAUCUAUGAGGCACACAGAACAAACAAGCCUUGACACAGAAUAACAGGAACCACAAUGGACAGGGUAACAUGAAAAUGAACCAACAAAGACUGUGCACAAAGGGCGUCAAGUAUGAAGCAUAUUUACGCACAACAACCUGGCGUAAGUACGAAUCUAUACCAACGUUCAGAUGUAUCAAGAACUACGUGAAGUAGAAAUUAGCUAGCUCCCUGGUUUACAUAAGUACUGUUCUACAGCUAUUGAGCCGUUGGUGACACUUAGAGGUGAAACAGGGAAACGGUUAUUCAUGUGAAAACAAUUCGGAGAAAAACGAUAAACAAUGAAUACAGACACGCAUAUGCAUUUAGAUGAGAGGAUAAAACAAUAUGAGCAAUACAAGAUGGCCCUGCCUUUGUAGCCUGCUAGAACAGCUCCCUACCAUCUUCUCCAGUUUACUUUUUUGUUGUAUGUUGGUCAGUUUUACAGGUUUUUGUUAUUGUGGUAAAACACUGCUUCUAGUGUGCACACAGGGAGACCACUUUUAUUGCUCUUGUGCUCAUCCCUGUUUUUUUUUAACUUUUUGGAAAUGCCUUUGAGGACCCUCUCAGCAGGAGGUACGGCGCUGCACCUGCCUACACAGAAACACCGGUGGUCCCACCUGAAAUACAGAGAAAAAGGAGAGGCUGCAGAGCGGGAUGUAGGCUCCAGGAGAGGAAAUGGAGGAUGUAUGAAACCUCAUGUACAAGUGAAAUUUUCCACAGAACUGCCGACAUACAUUGUCUGAACUCCGGAUUACCACUCCAACUACAUCAUGGAUUUUUUUACCAUUUAGGACACAAUGGUUUCAAGCUUUAUACUUGUGCACGUUGGACCCUGCUGACACAUCCUGUACUGUGCUCUAUUCAAAGUUGAACAAACUGUUUACAGUUUUCCCCACAUUAUCUUUUAAUAGUUUGUCUGGCAACAUAAAAAAUAUAAAUUUAUGAAAUAUGAAUAUUAAUUUAUGAAUGAAUUUAUAUACAUAAUCCAGAGGGAACACCAGCAUGAAAUACUGAGGGCAACAAAUGUAAUAAGCAACAGUGGUUUUGCUUACAUAUUUAAUAUUGGUUUGCUGUGCUACGUCGCUAACAGCCGUAGUGUAUUAUUUAUUCAUAUGAAUAUACUUUAACAAAGUAUGCUAUUGAAGUAAAUUGCACAUUUAUUUUGUAAAUCAUGUAUGUCUAUGUUAGAAAUGUGUAUAUUUUAAUAACAAAUAUCAUACUUAACAAAAAUGAUGUAAGAUGUGAAUAGGGAAUAUCUAAUGUUUUGGUUCAUUGUCUUGAUUAGCUGUUUUAUGGCACAAUACAUAUUUUAUACUGAGGUAUAUCUUUUUUCCAGAUUUUAAUGUAUUAGCAUUAAAACAUGCAGGGUUUGGUUUCCUGAAUUAACUUAAGCUUUGCAAAUAAUCUAAUGCUUCUAGUAGUACUGUACUUAUAAUACAUAAGUACAAUAUAAGAGUAUUGAGAAAAGAAAUAUGGAGGUAGAUCACAAGCAGCUACCCCCUGUUUACAGCCAGCCUCCCUACUAGCGGUAGUGUACAGUUUAGAGAGUUAAAGAUUUAAGGUUGCAUAUGAAAUAUGCAUGCCCUCAAAAUGGUAAGGGGUAAGCUUUGAGGCAAUGGAGAAAUACAGGAUUACAAAUUUUUCACAAUACAACUUGCCAAAGCAGAUGGACAUACAUACAAAGAACGGGGAAUCUGACUGGACAUCACAGAAGAGGUUCUUUUUAAAUAUUAUUAUUAGUGUGAAAAAUAAACUGUGAACCAUGGAAUUAGUGGAUGACACUCUGAUCUCCUGAGCCACAGCUGCCUCUCUGGUGCUCAAACUCAAAACUCAAAUAAAUGUACUUUCUUACAUAGGUGGAAUUGCAUGCUGUAAUAUUUAUUUUAUGUCCGCCACAAAAAACAAUGCUCUUUAUGUUGUAAAUGUUCUGUUCUCAUUCAUAUUUAUUCUACACACAGUCUGGGUGAAAAUGAUUUCAAAUACAAUUACUCAUAAUAACAUACAGUAUUAAAGGCAACCAAAUAUUUUAACACAA